GAAUCGCUGUGAUGCGGGCGGUUCGCCGCCCGCGACUCUGCGAGAAGUCCAUUGAACCUUAUCAUUUAGAGGAAGGAGAAGUCGUAACAAGGUUUCCGUAGGUGAACCUGCGGAAGGAUCAUUG
rnacentral:rRNA from 1 species